rnacentral:misc_RNA from 1 species
CUGACAUGUGCAGUACGUAGUGUGUAGGGAAGGAGAGAUAAGGCAAGGCAAUCAUCUCCGCAAGCGAGGAGUACGACAUCUAUAUAAACGAAAAGGAAGCGAGGUCAGCACAUCACAUACAAGCACGCACGGACACAUGUAUGUGUGCGUGCCUGCUCCCUCCUGUUUUACUUUGUGCAGUUUCCUCAUAGCCACGUUAGAUUACCUGCACCUUACCUCUUGACAUCCUUUUUUUUUCACCCUAACGCCUCAGAGUCGCAGAGGGUCUCGGACACGAAAGGAGACACACUGUGUUCGCGCUUGGCUACGCACGUCGUGCGACUUCCGUAGUCACGCCACACUCCCUGGCCCCCCCCCCCCCCGUCCUCGCGCAGCACUUGGACCUAGACUAAUCUCUCACUCUUUGUUUGGUAGUUGGCUAUUUGUUUCGCUGCUGUAUUUCUUGAUUGAGUGCCGUUCAGUAGCGCAACGGGGGUAGCAGGCAAUGCGCUCGUCCUCACCGGAAACGAACGUACGCAAGGCAGCUGUUUCGACGUUCUCUGGGCCGUCGAGCGCACCGCUCACACGGCUACAGAAGCGCUUUUCGAGCCAUGCGGCGUCUGCCGGAAGAGAGAAGGCUGCCGCACUGCCGGCCGGCAUCGCGGCCGCUGUUGUGGGCACCUCAGCGUCUUUCGCAGCGACUGGCAGCUCGUUGAGAAAGCGGUCCGCCUCCAAGGUUGGUCUUGCUCCGCAUCGGCCAGCGAAUGCGAAGUGCGACAGUGUCGUGCGAGUGCCGCCGACGCACCGGCAGACAAACAAGUGGAGUGCUGGCACCGCCACCCUCGACGCCCUCUCCACACGGCAGAGCCCACACGCAGCCUCGGCGUGUUCGCCGAGUUUUCCAUUUGAUGUAUAUCCUACCCAGAUCUUCUUUGAUUUAUUCGCGGCAAAUCGAACGUACACGGCAACACUGGAGCUGAGAAAUCACACAACGGCAAACACGCACGUGCGCGUGGACCGCCCAAGUUCCUGCAGCGGUUUCGAGUUAUCGGCGCCGCACGGGGCCGAGUCGUCGUCGAAGGUGGCCCCCGGUCUCUCCGUCAUCUACACAGUAGUCUUCAGCCCGACUAGCAACCUCAAGGACUACGAGACGCAGCUUGUCGUGCGAGCCGAGAGCGGCGAGGCGAUCACGGUCCCGGUGCGCGCGUACGCCAGUCGUGGCCAGCUGCAGCUUCCUGCGGCGCUCACGCUGCGUGAGGCGCCCGUAAAGGGUACCAGCUGCACGCCUCUGUUCCUUCGGAACACGAGCGAGCAGAGCUGCGCGUGGCGGGCGAUGGUCUUCGACGUCAGCAGCGUCGCGUCUGAGGCGAUGGCCAAAGACACAUCAUACUCGCCAUCUUCACACUUCUCCAUCACGCCCAGCUACGGCGUGGUCGAGCCUCUCUGCGGAGGUGGCGAUGGAACGGCAGUGACGGUGGCCCCCGUUACUCUACACUUCCAUCCUCACCCAAGCAUGGCUGCUGCCAGCACGUUCGGGGCGGUGCUGCGCUUUUUUCUUGGCCCAGAAGGAGACGUCGUGCAGGACGUGCAGCUGUCAGCUCAGGCGGUGGAGCUGACCGGUAUAGCGCUGGAGCAGACGGUGGUGACGUUGGCGGACACCUACGUGACGACGGAGCGGCAGACAGUGGUGCGCUUGCGCAACGACUCGGACAAUACCGUGCACUUCGCGUGGAAGAGCUCGUACCGCGGCAGCCGCGAGAGUGACGGCGAUGACGAUGGAAGUGUAGCUGGUGAUGACGCGGAGUUCGGUGGCGACGGCGCCGCCUCGGGUGGCAUGACUGGAAGCUGCGCAGAGAAGAGAAUGAGCGAUCUGACUGCCACCGCCGACAGCAGCGUUUACAACGGCAGUAGCGGCGGCGACGGCCGCCAGCAUCAGCUGCAUCAGCCCUUUCACGACUACAGCACCAUGCGAGAUGACUACACAGGCGAUGAGGCGUUCCGCAUUGAGCCGCUGUCGGGCGUUCUUUACGGUCAUGGCGUGCGCGAGUUUACCAUCACGUUCAACCCCAGCGUUGCCGUUCUGUAUGAAUCCAUAGCGUUCCUGGAUGUGACUGGGCUGGAGAACCGUCUUCCCCUCACGCUGCGUGGCCACGGUCUUGGCCCGCAGUGUACCCUCGAGUACAGCCGGCUGGAGAUUGGCGAUGUCUACUUGAACGCUCUGCACGAGUAUGAAGUGAGCAUGGAGAACAUUUCUUCCAUCGAGUGCCAGUACGUAAUAAUGCCGCCACUGCCAGUCUUGCCAGCCAGCGCCGCUGCUGCGACCACAGCGGAGCCAGCUACCUCAACGUCGCUGACGGACUUCUCCAGCAAGUUCCGAUUCACGCCGUCUCACGGCACCCUCGGCCCCGGUGAGAUUGUGAAGCUGCGCAUCGAGCUGCAGUCGGACCGCAUCGGCAGCUUCUCUGAGGUGUUUCGCGUGCACAUGCAGGGGGCUGUCGAGGAGGUGCCGCUGCUGCUAAAGGGACGGGUGCUGGGCCCACACUUCCAGUGCAGCGUUGAGGAACUCGUCUUUGGCAACGUUUCGUACAACAUGACACAUCAGCGCACCAUGCAGAUUGCAAACACGAGUCCGAUUCCCAUGCACUAUACGCUGCGCAUGCCGGACGAGUGCACGUACGCAGAUGACUUGAUCAUUUCACCCGCCACCGGCGUCAUCGCGCCGAUGGCGACGCAGACGGUCACAGUCACGCUCCACUCGUGUACUGUCGGCAACUACGACACAGCGUUGCUGGUCGAGGUUGCCGACGUGGGCGAUGUGCUGGAGGCGAUUCCGCUCAAGGCUACAUGUAUGGUGCCACCCCUCUUCACGAACGCGACGGAGCUCUCUUUCGGCGGUGUCUUUGUCGGGUACCCCUCCACGCUGAACGUGGCGGUGCUGAACAACUCCGCUCUGACGGGCAUGUUCGAGUUCGCGCUGGUGGGCGGCGGCGCUUUAUCUGAUGUCGUGGCGGUGGAGCUGCCGGUGUCGGCGGAGCACGAGGACGGCGUGCACUGGAUCUCGCCACACCAGACGAUGCAGAUGCCCGUGACCAUGACGGCACUUCGACCCGGCAAGCUGCACUUCUCCAUAGCCUUGCGUGUGCUUGGCAUGGACCCCGCUGUGGCCCCUCCGCAGACGAUCCUUGUGAGCGCGGUGGCGAGUGGGACGCAUGUGGAGAUGCAGCCGAGCACAUUCCAGUUUGGCACUGUCGACGUCCUGCGCGCAGAGGUAAAGGAGCUGACACUGAAGAAUACGAGUCCCGUGCCGGCGCCGUUCUCGCUCGUGUUCGACCGUUACGGUGGCCUCCCUGCCACCGCCUCUUCUGCCGCUGCUGCUAGUGUCGCGGCUGAGGCGACCCUGCCCUUCCCUCGCGAACCAGUGUUCACGGUGGAGCCGGCCGGCGGCGUGCUGGAGCCGCACAGCACGCUCACGGUCCGCAUCCGUGCGAAGCCGGAUGAGGCGAUGGUGUUUAGCGAUACUCUGCGUCUGUGCCACUCACCGGCGUCGCACAGCGCCGCGGCCGCUGAAGAGACGGCGGUGGCGGUAGGGAACAAGCCAACUGUGACGGUCAAGGUGGCAGGCAAAGGGAUCCCCAUCGUAUCGGAGCGGCCAGUCGCCGACGUGAAGCUCGGCGAUGUGUUGACAACCGCACUGGUGGCGGAGACGAUUACGCUGCACAAUUACGGGCGUCGUGAGCAGGAAGUGCAGUGGCAGAGCACACACAACGCAAAGACGAAGGAGAGGGAUCUGCCGCCAGCCUUUAGCUACAAGCCCGAGCGUUCCGUCAUCCCGGCUGGCGGGGCGCUGACGUUCACCUUGUCCGGCGGGUCAGACGAGCCAGGCGUGCGCACAGAAACAUUCACUCUGAAGCAGUCUGGCACCUUCAAGGAGAUACUACGCAGUACUGUCUCGGCCACCUUCACGGUGCCGACGCUGUCGUGCAGCACUCGCGCCAUUCACUUCGACUUCGCAAACACAGAGCAGCUGCAGGCGCUUGAUGCCCCCUCUGCGGCCUCCUUGGUCAAGUCUCUGACGAUGAAGAACAUCACCAGCAAGACGCUCGCUGUCUCGCUCCGCAUCCGGCAUGCGGCCACCGCGUCGUCGUCGCCGUCACCACCGCCGGCGGGGGCGUCCUCGGCUGCAGCGAACGGGGUGCCUUUUGAGCUCGAGGGGCCGUCGACCAUCACCUUUGCCCCUGGCGACUCGUACGUUGUCGGUAUCCGCUGUAACCCCCUCUACCGUCGCGACUUCACGUCGCACACAACGAAGGCGACUGUUCAGUUCAGCUUUGCGCAUCAUGCCCGCAAGGAGCACGUCAGCCUCAGCGCGACUCUGCGCUUCCCUGCGCUUGUAAUGAACCCAUCGGCGAGACUGGAGUUCGGCUCCGUUCUCCGCAACACGGAAAAGCGACGCACGAUUGUGCUGUCCAACCCCUCAGCGGACCUACCGGCGCGCUUUGAGUGGGCGUUGCAGCCACAGCCAGGCAACAGUGCAACCGCCGCCCCGAAGGCGGCAGGGGAGGGUGACGUGAAGGCAGCGGAGGCGCAGUACACUGGGGACAAGAGUGCACUUCGCACCAUCAAGGCAGGAGAUGAGGCCGCCGCGGCCGCGGCGAGGUGCUUCGACAUUGUCCCUUACACUGGAAUGCUGCUGCCGGGAGAGUCACGGAGCAUCAAUGUGACCUACCAAGGAGCAGAGUGUGGGACAGCGCUGGCGACGGCUGUGUGCCGUGUGCACGGUGGCCCGACCUACACAGUCGUAGUGCAUGCAACCUCGAGCGUUGUCCAGGCGCGCUGUGACAGAACGGAGAUCAACUUUGGUCGACUCCCGUUCUACGAGUCUGCCACGCAGUCCGUGAUGCUGUCGAACAGUACCCUCGUCCCCGUCACCUGGGAUGUCGACCUGCGCAGCAUGCGCCACCCCGAGUGCGUGCAUGUGUCGCCCGUGUCUGGCGAGCUGCGAGAGAAGGCUCGGCUGCUCAUCACUUUCACGCCGACAGUGCCAGACGCCUUCGAGGAAACGCUGUGGGUGCGCAUUGGGCAUCUCGAUCCGCAGCCGAUCCACCUACGCGGCUCGGGUUACAUGAACCGGCUGAUGAUAACAACGACGAGCUCCACCGCGUCGGCCGUGGAGAACGAGGUAGUCGUGUACCGAGCACCGUUCAGCGCCUUCACGGAGGCUCUGCAGUACGUGGAGUCGAGGCUGGCGUCGUCGCAGCUGCGCAGCGUGUAUGCGUCGCGAUCGGUGACCCCGCUGACCACGACCCUCGCAACAGCCGCAUCAGCUAGUGAGUCCGCGUCAAACGCGCCGGCACUCCCGACAUGGGUGCAAAGGGAAUGGCCGACGCUGGAGGCGGAGCGGCUGGCGUUCUGCCGCGCCGUAUGCGAGGCCCAGGCGUCGGAGCAUAGAUGCAGUGUCAGCCCCAAUGGCGCCAUUCGGCCACCACUCUUCUUGGCGCCACACGCGCUUCGCCGAAACUCUGUGACGGCUGUGUGCAGCAAGGAUGGUACCGGCGCCGGCACCCACAAGUUCGUUCUCGCGCGCUACGUUGUCGACUUCGGCCAUCUCACCCGGCACGACAUGCGCAAGGUGACGCUGAGGCUAACGAACCCAUCGGCCACGGAGGUGGUGAGCGCGAUGCUGGACAGCAAGGAGCUCGAGCACCUGCCCGUCUCGGCGGUUCCUAUGAAGGGAAUCAAGGUAGGGCCGCUGGAGACGACGACGUUGACGUUGGUGAUGGACGCCACAAAGCCGGAGAGCCUCGUGCGCCAUGGACAAAACCGUUACGAGUUCGCCAUCGACGUGAAGCAUGGCCCAGCCAUUGUGGUGGAGUGUCGCUGCUACGUCGCCACCCCGACUCUCCGCACUGCUGAGAAGGAAGUGCGCUUUGGGCCAGUGCUGCUGGGAAAGGUCAAGGUACUACCAUUGGUCCUGACGAAUCCGGAAGCGGUGCCGUGCCCGUGGCGAGUCACAUGUAAGGAAGAGGCUUCGUCGGAUAUGACGGCAUCCACGGCGCCGAGGGGGCACUGGCUGCGCGACGAGCAGAGUUACACACCUGCCGGGCUCGUCGCCGCUGAGCCCCGCGGCUCUAUCCGGUCCCGGCGAGCUGCACCAGCGUCUCAGUUUUGGGUGAAGAAGGAUCAUGGCGUGGUCGAGGCGUCUGGCACCACUACAAUCGCGGUGUACUUUGCCCCCAAUUGCAUUGCUGCUGAGGACGGCAUGGGUGCCAGUGAGGAUCGUGGCAGCGCUCCAGCCACGGCUACGCUGCGCUUCCGCUGUGGCAAGGGGUCAGCCGAAAGUGUUCUCACUGUGAAGCUCAUCGGUAGUGCCUUCCAGUACAAGGUCAGCCUUUCCACGACGCAGCUUCAGUUACCGGUGGUUCGCCCCCACCAGGUGGUACACGAGUCUGUGACGCUGACGAACAACGAGGAGCACCCUGUGGAGGUGUACAGCCUGGAUCUCGACACACAGCACAUGCACGAGAUAAAGCUGCUGCGUCGCGCAAUAGAGGUGAACCCGGAUCACGAGAUAUUCUUGCCCCACCUGGAGGCAGGCUCUCGCCUGCCGGAUGCGCUACUAGAGUCCAUCUUCGCCCGCCUGCACGCCGCCUCUGAGUCGCUGAAGGAGGCGCCGCCGGCGGCCGACUUGGAAGCCGCUGAGGAGGCGCUCGUGGGCGCACCGGCGGCCGCUUGCAAGGGCGCGAAAACAUCGCGGGGGCAGUCCGUGUCUGCUGCGUCUCGCGCCUCCAGCUCCAACUCCAAAGGGGGGCGGCGCGAGAAGGGCAAGAGCGGUCAUCAAUCGGCAGCGGCUGCGUCUGGCGGGAUCGAGAAGGGCCUCCACAGCGAGCUGGCGGCGGCCGAUGAUAUUGCAGGCCAGGAUCAAGGAGCUAUCGACGGCUGCACCGCGGUGAGCAUGGCGAAGCCGAGCGUUGUCCUCCUCGUCGGCCCUCCCUGCAGUGGAAAGACAACGUUGGCAAAGCAGAUGGUUGAGUGGGCGGAUGCGGGCAGCGUGAUCCACGUGGACGUCGAUGAGGUCAUCCGGCGUGAGGCGGACCGCGACGAUACGGCGGACGGGGCGGUGGCUCGCUUCCUCCUUUCUCAACUGGCAGACAGACAGCUGAAGUCCGUGCCCGUCACGGCCGAUGACGCCGCCGCCACGGGCGACGCGGUGGCUGCGUCAUACAUCGCGUGCGCACCGAAGCUUGUGCGUGACGCUCUUGAGGGGCAUCUGAACCGGUGCAUCGCCGACCAUGCAACGCACUCGGCAGCUGGUGCUGCUUCCCUUGUUGAAUCAAGGGACUUCGCUGCGUCAAAGCCUCGAAAGCUCCUCUUCUUGUUUGACGGAUUGGGCUGCACCGUACUCCAGAACCCGUGGCGGCUCUUUGAGCUGCUCAAAGAGACCUGCGAUGCCCUGCACAUCCCUCUGCAGAUCGUUUCAUUGGCUGUCAGCACCCCCAUGUCUGGCGUGCGGAGGGCCGAGGCACUGGAGGCGCACCACGCGGCGCGGGCCACAGCCGCAUCCCUUACCUUGUUGAGUGAGGCAGCAUUCGAGGCGCUUGACAAGGAGGCUCGCGAGGACUACACGCGUCGCCUCAAGCAUUUCAAUGACUGCCGUCGAGAUCUGCGGGCUGCCCAGCAGCUCAAGAGAAACUACAUGGCACAGCUGCCCCACAAGACCGUGCAGCAGGAGACGGAGGAGGCAUUCACAAAGGCGCAGAUGGAUUUGCAGCAGGCUUUGGCGCUGGAGUCCACGAUGAGGUCGGCGCGAAAAGGGAAGGCGGCAGCCGGUGCCGGCCGCGGUGCCGCUCAAGCGGCGGAGGGGGCAAAAAAGCUGCGGGAGCUCAAAUGGUCCGAUCUCGACGCCGCCACGCAGUUUCGUGAGUGGUAUACGCGCUUCCUCACCAAGUACGGCACCCCGCCAAAACCCGAGGGCGGAGACGACAGUGCCAUUGGCGCGGCGACCGCGCGUGCUAGCGCUGCAGGGCCGCCGUUAAAGGGUGCCGCUGCUGUUGCUGCCGCUGCUGCGGCGGAGGAAAGGGCGAACUGCUGGGCUGCUGUGGUGCGCGUUUCUGCAGAGACGGAAACCCCUAGUGAAGUUGCGAGAGUGGUUGAGCUACAGCUGGUCCAGGGCGACACCGAGACGAGCUCACACACCGGUGCUGCAACAACCACGCUGGCAUUGCCGACCCUGUCGCCUCCGUUGACAACGGUUGUCGUCGCCACGUCUUCAUCCGCUGCCUCCGGUGAAGGACAGCUCUCCGUGAGCGCUAGGGAGACGGACGCUCCCCCUGCUGCUUCCUCCAUGGCGGCAGUCGUAGAAUCCUCGCACUCACCUGCAACUGCAGCCGCAGUGGCGGCGACGAGUGCGAUCGGCGAGUGGCUCUAUCUGAACAAGCGCCGUCUGCGCUUCUGGGGCAACGAGGCCCUCGGCGGCUCACGCGGCGUCGCCAGCGUGCUUGGACGGCCCUCAUCGGGGGAGGAGGUGCUUGCGGCCAAGGCAAGUACAGCAGUGCCAACCGUUGCAGGAGUCGCUGAGACCCACACGCCGCUUGACGCUGCUGGUUUACCUUUCGCCACGGACGCAUUUCAUGCCGGAUCUGCCGCGGUGACCAGGGAAGCCCGUUACGUGCACUUCUUCUCGACACUGGAACGUGAAGUCAUUCCAGCGAAGAAGAGCUGCGGCCGCGGCAAGACGGUCCCGGCAGUAGUUCAGCAGGAGGAGGAGCUGACACGUUGGUGGCUGCCGCCGAAGUCGUCGGUCACGCUGACGCUCGAGUUCUGCGGUGACCACGUUGGCCCCUACACGGAAAAGUGCCUCUUCGGCGUUGUUGGCACGCUUCAGCAGCUGGGCCUCACAGUGUCCACCACGGUGGCUCUGUCCGACAUCAGCCGAGAUCCCAAGGACAUCUUUCCCGUCAUAAAGGCCCGCGGAAUGUCAAUCAGCGGCGGCGUCGAGGCGGGCCAACGAGCGUCAAAGGUGUACAUUCCCUCCAGGAAGCUUUUCGACUUUGGGCCGCUGCUCAUUCCGCCGCCGCCGGUGCCGAAGAGCCGCCGCCGCAGCAUCGAGAAGGUUGGCACGGGCUCGUCCUCGUCGAUCGGCGGGUCGGGUCGCAGCGGCAACGCGGGUGGAGGCAACUACAUCCACAGCAGCAAAGCGCCAUUCCAACACGAUGGCACGCUUGGCGAGGAGACGCUUACGUUUGUGAACCGCGAGGCCAGUGAGGCGGAGGUGACGUUGUCGUUCCUCAACGAGAAAGAGAAGACGUUUGUGGUAACCCCGACCAGCUUCGUGCUAAAGCCUGGUGCCUCACAGCAGGUCAGCCUGCGUGCGACGCCAGAAAAGGUGGGCGACUUCACGAACACGCUGCUGGCGUGCAUCAAGGACAACCCGCUUCCCUGGAGGACGGAUGUGACGUGCAUGGGGGCGCGGCCGACGCUGACGGUCAACGGGUGCAAGGAUCUGGAGGUGAACUUCGGACGGCUCGUGCUGAAUCGCAGCGUGACGAAGUCCUUUUCGCUCGUCAACGAAGGACCGCUGCCGCUGCAGUGGAGGCUGGUGCCGGUUCUGGAUGGCAUGACAACCCGCGGCCCCGGGGGCGGUGGUAGCGGAGUAGGGGGUGCUGCAUCCGGCGCAGCGGCAGCGGCAGCGGCCCAGUUGCCUACAGAGCUCCAGUGUUCCGCACUGGAGGGCGUCAUCGAAGAGGGCGGCACAUACACGCUGAACAUGACCUUCGCACCAACGCACCCCUGCUUCUACACGCGCAGCAUGUUGUUCACGGUGUCCUACCCAGGCCAUCCCCAUCAGGUCCUGUACGAGUCUUUGCCGGUGAUUAUCAAGGCGGAGGGCUACGACGUCGUGCUGGAGUGGACACGCGAGAUUCAGCUCGGUGUGUUGCACGUCGGAGAAGAGAAACACGAUACGAUUCGCAUUCUCAAUAAGAGCCCGUACGAGGUGGGCUAUCAGCUAAAGCUGCCGAAACGGCUGCAGAAGUCCGUGACACUCUCCAGCCCGUCCGGCACGCUUCGGGGCAUGGUCGGCUUCAAGGACGCGGCCGUCGUCAACAUCGACAUCGUGGCUCGCCUGGAGAAGGAGGGGGAGCUGCCUGCGAAGCUGUCCCUAAUCGAGGUGGCGUUCUUCGACGUCGACAGGAAGGAGCUGCUGUACCCCGUGCAGAGCAUCCCGGUCACCGGGGAGGCGUGGUACACGAAGUACGCGGUGCAGCCACCGAGCGUGAGCUUUGGCUCCUGUCUCAUUGGCCAGCCGCGAGAGAGCACAUUUGAGCUGCGCAACACAGGAGUGUUUCCUCUGGAGUACGUGCUCUUCAACUACCGCGAUGCCGCCGCGGAGGGGAGCGCGAACGAGAACGUCGCCGACGCGUCUACUGCGGGGGGUGCGGCGGUGGCGGCAGCACCUGCCCUGCAUGCUCCCUCCGCCGGCGCCAAGAAUCAGAUCAAGGCUGCAAAGGGGAGCGAGAUGGAUGUCAUUGUGGGCGCCUUCAAGUGUUGCCCGUGCCGAGGGAUCAUCCCGGUUGGUGGCGCGCAGAUCAUCACUGUUUCGACAGUCCCUCGAAAGCAGAGCCGCACCCGAGAAACGAUUGGCGUGCGAGUCGUGCAGAGCGGCCCCGAGUUAGAGCGCUACGGCACUCCAGUUGAGGUAUCCGCAUACCCGGCGUUGCCGUCGAUCGCCGCAGACCUCACCUCCAGCGCCGACGUCGAAACUAUCUUCGAGGAGCAGCGCGUCGUGUACCGCUUAGAUCAGCUGGCGAAGGGUGUGUGCGCAUACAGCAAGGAGGAGCGGGUCUUUUCCUUUGGGACGACUCUUGUGGGACAGCGCAGCGAGGAGCGCUUUCGCAUUGCCAACAGUAGCCCGCUUCCGUGCACCAUCGUGGCCCAUCUCGAGGGUGCCUCUGUGACCGGGACCAGUGGGAACAGUGGCAGCGGUAACGCGGCUCGCGGAAACGCAAGCGUCGCGAGCAGCGGGAACAAGCCUGUCACAGGUGGGGGUGGUGGUGGCGGCGCCAGCGCUGCAGCGGGUGGGGCGGGCAAGGUGGAGGGGUUUGAUCUGUCCUUGGACGGCAGCGGUGCAUCCCCGGCGCAGACGAGAAUGACGACCGUCAAGAUGGUUCUGCCGCCGUAUGAGAGCCGUUUUCUCACCAUCGGCUUCACCCCCGGCUCGCUGCGUCGCUUCCAAGCCCAGAUUGUCGCCGUGGCCGAGAGCGCCGCCAUCUCAAGCGAUGACAUGGCGGAGGCUGGCCAGGAGCUGCGCUUUGGUCUGUGCGGUGAGGGCACCCUGCCCAGCGUGGAGGUCGAAGUGCCCCCGCGCCUGUCGUCGUCCGCGGUGCCGUGGGGCAGUAGUGGUGGCAGAAAGUCGUCUGGAGCGUGCGCGGGAUCGAUGGAACGCAUGCAUCGCCGCACAGAAAGCGGCGGCAGUACCAGCAGCAACGAGCGCAAGCGAGGCCUGCGCCGCAGCGGCGGUGGCUCAGGUGGUAGCACCUCUCCGUCAGUGUACGGGAGCGCCGACGGCUACUCGACCAGUUCCGGCGUCGCAGAGGUGCUGGAGCUGCCCUUGGCACGUGUAGGCGCCGUAGCGUCGCGCAGCUUUACGCUGCGGAAUAUAGGAUGCGUGACGGCCAAGGUGCACCUAGAGCUGAUGACGCCGGGAGGGGAUGACUAUGGUACACCGAACUCCGCCUUGAAAAUUACCACCAGAGGCGGCACCGGUGGCACCGCCGUCAAGAAGCAGCGCGGUGCCUUGGCACACCACAGGGCCGAACUGUUUGUGCCUGCUGGCCAGUCUGAGGUCGUUGAGUUGACGUACGCGCCGACGCAGGUGGAGACGACGACGACGCGGAUGCGCGUCUUGCUGCGGGACAACCCAUUUGAGGAGAAAGAGGUGCACAUCCUUGCCUACAGCUUCGACAGCCCCAUCUCCUUCGACGGCAUCGACCCGUCUAGCCCAGACCACUAUGACAUUGGGGACUGCUGGAUUGGUGUUGACAAGAGCUGCACUUUCACCGUGCGAAACAACACAGACUCGCUGGUGCGCUAUGAUUGGCAGUACCCUGACGCCGUUGUGCGCAUGGUGCCCUCGGUCGGCCACCUCAGCGCCGGCGCCACGCGGACCAUCACGGUGGUUGUGCGCAGCGAGUCACAGAACCUCAACCAAGUCGCGCGCUGCACCAUUCAAGUACAGUCCAUUCAGUUGCUGACCAACGCGUUGGGUGGAGGACUUGUGCACUCCAGCAUCGGUGACGGUGGCGCCGCGUCCGGUGGCACUGGCAGCGGCGCAACCCCGGUCUCUGGGGCGACGAACGCGGCGAUCACGGAGUGGGACAACUCGAUGCAGAGCCCGAAGUGGGUCCUGCGCGAGGAUGACACCGCUGCGAGCGCUAUCGCCGCCGGGGCCCACUCGGCCGCCGCGACGGCCGCCUUGCUGUCUACCGCCGCCUCCAUGGUUGGCCGCCGCAACUUGAAGCAGGUCCUGGAGCCGCUGCCGGAGCCGCCAUAUGCAGUUGUCGACGCUGUUAACGUGAUGCAGUCACUCACGCUGCGGUACCACUGCAGCGUGCCAGCGUACCAGUGCCAGCUGGUCGACGCGGCAACGGGCGCGGUGACGGACCUGAAAGCGAUUUCUUUCGAACAGACCUACUUGAUGCAGAAGCGGGUGGCGAUAGUGCGGGUGAUCAACACGGGGAGUGUUGGACUGCCUCUGACGUACGACAUCGCCACCUCUGGAGAGGAGGACGGGGCGCCAACGCGAACCGCUUCGCAACAGAAUUUGAAGUCGCCACACGCUGGACGCGGCGACAGUGGGGCCUUGGCUGCUGGUGUGGUAUCUGGGGCUUCUCUUUUCACUCCUGCCGUCGAGGGUGACGCUGGGGCGUUGCACGAGUCGCCUGGAUACACCGCCCCCACCGCCGACUUUGCCGUCGUGCCGUCGCCGACGUCUCGUGCCGCGAGCACCAUACCGGUCGGCACGCACCUCGACCUUCACGUCGAGUUUACUCCUCGUGCCGUCGGCCUUAUAAUGGCGGAGCUGAUCCUAUCAAUGCGACACAGCGACCCGGCAGAAAUGCGCGUGCCGCUGCAAGGCGUAGCAGAGUGCCCGCUCGUCCACUUCAACGUCCCACCCACUACGUACUCGGACACGCGGUCGAUGGCAGGCAUCAGUGGUGCGGCCUACCGGGGCCAGGACACGGUCGUCGUGGAGUUCCUCGCCCGCGGCCUGCACACGAAGGCCACCGUCAAGUUUCCCGUAAUGAACCCGACAGCGACGACGUACAGCUACGAAUGGGUCGAAGAGGGCAUGGGGCGCGGGGCGAGCGCCAACGGCGGCGCAAGCGGCGGAUCCGUGUCGCCGUUCCGCUGCCUGACACCGAUGGGUACCAUCGCCGCUGGGCGCCAGGCUGAGGCGACCUUUGAGUUUUACGCGGACACCUUGGGGGUGCGGGAGUCGGCCUGGUCCUUCCAGAUCCCUGGCCGUGCCGCGAUCCCGUUUGUGCUGGUAGGCACCGCGGUCGAGCCGAACGUGUACUUUCAUGCGAGCAAGGUAAUAUUUGGACACGUGCAGGUCGGCACCCAGGUGGAGCAGACUGUCGUCUUGGAAAACUGCGACGACGUUCCCUUCUCCUUCUCGUGGGAUAAGUUUUCGAUGGAGGGGACGUCCUCGUUCUUGUCUGUCAGGCCGCUUCGUGGUACCAUCGCCCCGCACGAGCGGCUCUUGGUUACUGUUACGUUCUCGCCGCAGGACGAGGUCGAGUACAACGUACCGCUCCGCUGCACCGUGAAGCGGUCGAGUGUGCCGCUCUCGAUCAACGUCAAGGGCGUUGGCGUGAGCGUGCACGACUCACUGCAAGUGGAGCCGAUCGAGGACGGGGCGGAGCCAACGCUCAUGGUGCGCGGUCAGCCGCUCUUUUUGAACCUCGAUCGCGUGCAGGUGAACUCGACGGUCGAGCGCCGCUUUGCCCUGCGCAACACCGGCGCGUACCCUUUUCAGUACAGCGUCGAGGCACCGGAGAACUCCUCUGUCAGCGUGGAGGGGAUGGAGGGCAAGAUCGCCGCGAAGCAGACUGGGGUGAUUGUCUUUCGAUACCACCCGACGUGCGAGGAGACGCUGAAGCAGUGCCGUCUCCUCUUCCGCAUCGAGGGAAAGGUCGCCUACAAGGUCGGCAUCAAAGCCACGGCCUACAUGCCCCGGCUGCAGCUGAGCUUUGACCACUACGACUUCGGCCCUCGAUUCAUUUUGGCGUACAACAACGGAUCGGCGACCGCGGCGUCAGGCGUCGCUAUGACCGUGCUGCAGCUCACAAACCUCGAGUCGGAAGUGGUCUCCGUCGACUGCAGCGUGUCUGCGCAUAACGUGUGGUGUCGCCUUGACAGCACGACGCUUGUGGUGCGUCCCAAGGAGUCGGCGCGGCUGCGACUCACCUUUGUGCCACCGGAGGCUCGACAGUACAAUGACAACCUGCGCCUGUGCUUCAACGCUCUUCACACGGUCCUCGUUCCAAUCACCGGCGAGGGUGUAGUGCCGCGCGUCGAGGUGGUGAAUCCGUUUGCGAAGCUUGGCAUCGUCCGCAUUGGCGAAACGCGGCAGAUGGAGGUGAAGCUGAUGUGCCUUAGCAAGAUUCCGACACCGAUAUCGUUUGCGCAGUCCAUCGACGACGACCUCCUCCAAAAGGGUUUCUCGGUUUCUCUGCCGGAAAGAACGCCGGCGGCCGCCGCUGCUGCUACUCCACUCGCGAUCAUGCUGAAGCCAAAGGAGAGCGCGACGGUGGUGCUGUCGUUCGCGCCAACGCAGCGCAUGGGCGAGUUCAGCAGGGAAGUGAAGAUGCUCGUGUGCGGGGUGGAGGUGCCGUUUUUGUCUGUGAGCGGGUCGUGCGCCGAUGCGGAGGUGCACCUCGACACGUCAGCGCUCUCGUUUCGCGAUGUCGUGGUCGGCGCCUCGGCGUCACGGCGAGUGUCCAUCCUCAACAGCGGCGACAUCUCGCAAAAGUUCUCGUGGCUGAGCAGCCUGCAGAAGCUGCGGCCGCAGGGCGAGUGGAGCAUCUUCCCGUCCUCCGGCUACGUCAGGGCCCACACGGAGCUGAGCUGUGAGCUGCGGUACACACCGAGCCUGCCGAGCAGAGGCAACACUAAGGCAGCCGCAGCACCGGCGUCGUCGGCGCUAAUGCAGCAAAUUCUGACUGUGGAGCUGGACAGCUCACCUGGAAUUUCGCUCACAAUCGAGUCGAACUGUGUUACUCGACCAGCGGCGACGGAGACGGUGCAUUUUGCGUGCCGCGCCCGCGAGACAGACGUCAAGAUGAUCGAAGUGUACAACCCAACAGAGGAAACGUGGACGACGGAGCCUGUGCUGGACAACUCGCUCUGGACAUGCCCGGCACAGCUCACUCUAAAGCCGAAGGCGAAGUCGAUGCUGACCGUUACGUAUCAGCCGGUACGGCCAACAUCCACCGCAGCGGCAGAAGCGGCCGCCAAAUUCUACAGCAACGCUUCGAAUGACCUCGUAACCGACGUACUGUCGUCGAAAGACAAGGCAACCCUCUUCAUUCCUCUUCCCGACGGCACUGGGCGAUGCGUGGCACUGGAGGGCAUCGCCGAGGCGGCUGGGUCGGCCGGCCCGGUGCAGGAGUACGACGGUGUUGUGCAGGUCAGCCUACCUCUGUACUUCCAGAUUCGCAACUGGUCCACGACGGAGAUUGCCCGCUUCCGCCGCGAGGUGGAGUGGAACUCGGUGACCCGGACGGGCGACAACGAUUCGGGCCAGCUGUCUGAGCGGAUUUCUACCCUGAUCCAUGUCGAGGGUGACGACGUCGGCGAUGGUGGUCGAAAGGGUACCUCGAGCGCGCGCUCCGGGCGGCCGAGCAACCGAAGCGGAACAGCGCCGAAGGCUCCCCCGGCGCAGAACGCCAUCGAGGUUCCUCCCGGCGCCUCUCGAGAAUCGGUGCUGACAGUGACCCCUUUGUGCGAAGGUGUGUACAAGGGCACGGUGCGCUUUGUGCCGGUCGACGGGCCUAGCGACGCCGCGGCGGCUGACGUUGUGCAGUUCUACGACUUUGUCAUCCGCGUGCGACCUGUGGAGGUAUCGGUGCCGACGACUGUCGACCUGCAUGCAGCCCUCCGAGAGCUGGCCAGCUUCGCAAUUCCGCUGACAAAUCCGCUAUCGAAGCCAGCUGUCUUCAAACUCGAGGUAGGAGCUGCAGACGGCACCGCAUCACCGACAACCGCCGCCGCGAGCGCAGCCCCGGAAACGUUCACGUUUCCGCCGACAGUGACGGUGCCGGCGCACACGCACGCGGAGGCGCUGGUGCAGUUUUUCCCUCUUAUCCCGAAGCCGCCGGCGACGGUGCGGUGCACUGUGACGUCUGCUGAACUAGGCAGCACCACCGUCUACGACUUUCGGCUGUUGAACACCUGCGAUGUCGCGGCCCCGGAACGGAUGACUCGACUGGUCUGCCCUCUGGGGCAGCACACGAACUUCGUCUUGCGCUUCAAGCACUAUUCCAAGACAAACACCGAGUUCUCGAUCCGCGUCAGUGGCGAGACGCUGGGAAAAGGCACGGCAACAUUCACGCGAGUCGGCGCGGGCGGUGGCGGCAGCCAAGCAGCUGUGGUGAAGGUGAACGCCUGCCCGCAGCCGCCAGCCACCUCCACGUCGCUGGUUUCCAAGGGGCAGGAUGUCGCGGUGGAGUUCAGCUACGAGCCCUCUGAACUCGGCGAGGCGGUUGAGACUAUUGAGUUUGUCUCUCCUGUCGCCGGCACCUACACGUUUCCGAUUGUGGCGAACUGCACACUGCCAGAGCGCCAGGGUCCAUUCGUGGCGCGCUUAGGCCAAAAUGUACAGCUGCCCUUCAAGAACGUCUUCAGCGAACCGGUCGCGGUCACGGUGACGUCCGACUCGCCGUUCUUUGUGCCGUCGCGCAAGACGGAGACGAUCGCGGCACACAAGACGGCGAACGUGAUCGUACACUGCAAGCCGGAGGAUGGUGUCGAGGUGAUUCGAGGUCGAGUCACCAUCACAUGCGUGCCGCCUGGCAAGCCGGCGCCAAAUCAGACGCAGCAACCGAUACAGUGGGUGUACUACGUCGAGGCAGCGAACUCGAGUGACCGAAGCAGCUCCGUGAAGCAGUCCAAGGCCAAGAAAUGAGGGGCUGCAGGCGAGGCUGUGCGUGAGGAGGGCAUCUUUCUUUUCGCUUCCCGUGCGUCUAAGUGCGGCUGCACGUGCCCUGCGAUGAGAGACGUGCCCCUCGUUCCCUUCCCUCUCCUCUUCGACUCCCUCUUUGCUUUGCGGCUCACUAGUUGUUUGCCUUCUUAGUUGUGCCUUUCGCUGAUGGGACUUUCGUUGGUUGGUCGUCUUGUUGUGGUGCACGCAUCUUGUCGUGGGCGUAGGCGCCUUUUGAUGGGAGCUGAGGCCGGCGCCAUCGUGGAGGGGAGAGGAUCGCGUACUUGCUAACAUCGACCCUCUGGAUCUGGCCACUCGAUAAGCACGAAAUAGUGCAAUCACUGCUCUGUUUUUCUUUUUUUUUUUCAAAAAAAAAUGAGGUGUGGGGUCACAGGAUGCUUGAGACGAGUGCUAACAUCUUGAAGUGGGGCUACACCUUGUGACGUCAUCGUUCGCCUCGCUCGCUUGCCGCCGAUUGUCAUCCCCAUUCUCUGUCUUCAGUAGCCUUGUCAUUUUCCGAGGUGCAGCACGCAGGAAACAUUGUUUUCUUUCUCCGAGUGAGUAACUCGUUAUUUGCCAUGGCAUGAGUUGGCGUGUUCAUGUCGUCUUUCUGUCUUUAUUUUCUCUCUUGGCUGCUUUCUCUCCGUCGUGAUUCCUUCGCCUGCUGCGCUUUUCCGUGGCGGGCGUGAACGGCCCCCACUGCCUUACGCGCACACCUGCGCACCCCGCGGCAGGUUUGCAUGCCCCGCUCCCUCCCGCACUCCCUGCCUGUCUAUUUUUCUGUCUCUCGGCGUACACACGCAUGCUUUCAGUUUUGUUUCCAUGCCGCAGCGCCGCUUGCCUUCGCCUUUCGCGCCUGCCCUGUGUCUACGUGCGUGUGUGUGUUCUUCGUUUUAUGUGUAUGUACAUAUGUGUGUGUGCUUGCUCCUGUUGUGUGUUGUGCUUUACCAUUGAUGUACAUGUGAUGUGCGGGGGCGGAGACAGGGAUUCGGAGGAUGGGGCUGAGGAUGACGCACACGUGAUGUGGUGAGGCUUGCCGUCUCUCUUGCCUUUUCCUAUCGCUCCUCUUCAUCUCUCUCUUCCCGCGUGCAGAAGCGGGACUUUGCCAGGCACCCCGCCCCUUUUCUCGUUCCCUCUUGUAGUUAGAUUCGACCACGCACACAAAUAACAAAGAAACAAGAACAAGGAUGUAUUAUGAGUCACAGUGUGUGCGCUCUGCCGAGCAAACGUGCAGUGGGGGCUGCCAUAGAGAGCAGAGGCGAUGCACACAGCUGAUGGCACGCCGGCAGGGUGAAGCUGCGGGGUGGUGUUGCAGAACAUGCGUGAUGCCUCACGGACGACCUUUCCGACG